rfam:Takifugu rubripes genomic scaffold, scaffold_2568
GCUUACGGCCAUACCACCCUGAGAACGCCCGAUCUCGUCCGAUCUCGGAAGCUAAGCAGGGUCGGGCCUGGUUAGUACUUGGAUGGGAGACCGCCUGGGAAUACCAAGUGCUGUAAGCU